GACGAACGCUGGCGGCGUGCCUAAUACAUGCAAGUCGAACGCAGUGGGGACGGGUGAGUAACACGUGGGUAACCUCCCAUCAGGGGGGAUAACACUUGGAAAUAGGUGCUAAACCGAUACUGAUGGAUGGGCCCGCGGUUCAUUAGCUAGUUGGUGAGGUAGCGGCGCACCAAGGCCACGAUGCAUAGGCCGCCUGGGAGGCGUGAGAGGCACACUGGGACUGAGAGACGGCCGAGACGCCUACGAGAGGCAGCAGUAGGGGCACUGGGGCAAUGGACGAAAGUCGGACCGACCAACGCCGCGUGAGUGAAGAAGGUGUUCGGAUCGUAAAACUCUGUUGUUAGAGAAGCGGUAUCUAACCAGAAAGCCACGGCUAACUACGUGCCAGCAGCCGCGGUAAUAC
rnacentral:rRNA from 1 species